CCUACGGGAGGCAGCAGUGGGGAAUAUUGCACAAUGGGGGGAACCCUGAUGCAGCGACGCCGCGUGAGUGAAGAAGUAUUUCGGUAUGUCAAGCUCUAUCAGCCGGGAAGAAAAUGACGGUACCUGACUAAGAAGCCCCGGCUAACUACGUGCCAGCAGCCGCGAUCAUACGUAGGGGGCAAGCGUUAUCCGGAUUUACUGGGUGUAAAGGGAGCGCAGACGGCUGUGCAAGUCUGGAGUGAAAGGCGGGGCCCAACCCCCGGACUGCUCUGGAACCUGGAAAGCUGGAGUGCAGGAGAGGUAAGCGGAAUUCCUAGUGUAGCGGUGAAAUGCGUAGAGAUUAGGAGGAACACCAGUGGCGAAGGCGGCUUACUGGACUGCAACUGACGUUGAGGCUCGAAAGCGUGGGGAGCAAACAGGAUUAGAUACCCGGGUAGUC
rnacentral:rRNA from 1 species